GAGGGGAUAUUUUUUUUUUUUUGAAUGCGGCAGCAUAUCAUGCAAGUCGAGCGGACAGAUGGGAGCUUGCUCCCUGAUGUUAGCGGCGGACGGGUGAGUAACACGUGGGUAACCUGCCUGUAAGACUGGGAUAACUCCGGGAAACCGGGGCUAAUACCGGAUGGUUGUUUGAACCGCAUGGUUCAGACAUAAAAGGUGGCUUCGGCUACCACUUACAGAUGGACCCGCGGCGCAUUAGCUAGUUGGUGAGGUAACGGCUCACCAAGGCGACGAUGCGUAGCCGACCUGAGAGGGUGAUCGGCCACACUGGGGACUGAGACACGGCCCCAGACUCCUACGGGAGGCAGCAGUAGGGAAUCUUCCGGCAAUGGACGAAAGUCUGACGGAGCAACGCCGCGUGAGUGAUGAAGGUUUUCGGAUCGUAAAGCUCUGUUGUUAGGGAAGAACAAGUGCCGUUCAAAUAGGGCGGCACCUUGACGGUACCUAACCAGAAAGCCACGGCUAACUACGUGCCAGCAGCCGCGGUAAUACGUAGGUGGCAAGCGUUGUCCGGAAUUAUUGGGCGUAAAGGGCUCGCAGGCGGUUUCUUAAGUCUGAUGUGAAAGCCCCCGGCUCAACCGGGGAGGGUCAUUGGAAACUGGGGAACUUGAGUGCAGAAGAGGAGAGUGGAAUUCCACGUGUAGCGGUGAAAUGCGUAGAGAUGUGGAGGAACACCAGUGGCGAAGGCGACUCUCUGGUCUGUAACUGACGCUGAGGAGCGAAAGCGUGGGGAGCGAACAGGAUUAGAUACCCUGGUAGUCCACGCCGUAAACGAUGAGUGCUAAGUGUUAGGGGGUUUCCGCCCCUUAGUGCUGCAGCUAACGCAUUAAGCACUCCGCCUGGGGAGUACGGUCGCAAGACUGAAACUCAAAGGAAUUGACGGGGGCCCGCACAAGCGGUGGAGCAUGUGGUUUAAUUCGAAGCAACGCGAAGAACCUUACCAGGUCUUGACAUCCUCUGACAAUCCUAGAGAUAGGACGUCCCCUUCGGGGGCAGAGUGACAGGUGGUGCAUGGUUGUCGUCAGCUCGUGUCGUGAGAUGUUGGGUUAAGUCCCGCAACGAGCGCAACCCUUGAUCUUAGUUGCCAGCAUUCAGUUGGGCACUCUAAGGUGACUGCCGGUGACAAACCGGAGGAAGGUGGGGAUGACGUCAAAUCAUCAUGCCCCUUAUGACCUGGGCUACACACGUGCUACAAUGGACAGAACAAAGGGCAGCGAAACCGCGAGGUUAAGCCAAUCCCACAAAUCUGUUCUCAGUUCGGAUCGCAGUCUGCAACUCGACUGCGUGAAGCUGGAAUCGCUAGUAAUCGCGGAUCAGCAUGCCGCGGUGAAUACGUUCCCGGGCCUUGUACACACCGCCCGUCACACCACGAGAGUUUGUAACACCCGAAGUCGGUGAGGUAACCUUUAGGAGCCAGCCGCCGAGAGUGACAAUCAAAAAAAAAAAAAAACA
rnacentral:rRNA from 2 species